CCACGGUUUCUUCAAGCUUCAAAGGGGCCGAAAAAUCUGUCCAAACCAGUCAUCAAAGUAGGUUUGAACUCGGAGGUAAAAUGGAGAAGCCCUCUUGAUGUACUUUUGUUUAGGGCUUGUUAUUACUUUUGGUUAUGCCUUUGGUUUUGGAAUUGUACUUUUGGUAUGGAAAUGUAACAUUUGGACGAAAUGUAAUCUGUAUUCUGACGUGUGGUUUGGAGAAUGGAUGAUUAUUAUUAAGUUUGAAUACUUCCGCAUUUAUUGUAUUUAAGUUAUUGGCUUG